UCAAGUGAAGAAGCGCAUACGGUGGAUGCCUUGGCAGUCAGAGGCGAUGAAAGACGUGGUAGCCUGCGAAAAGCUUCGGGGAGUCGGCAAACAGACUGUGAUCCGGAGAUGUCUGAAUGGGGGAACCCAGCCAUCAUAAGAUGGUUAUCUUGUACUGAAUACAUAGGUGCAAGAGGCGAACCAGGGGAACUGAAACAUCUAAGUACCCUGAGGAAAAGAAAUCAACCGAGAUUCCCUUAGUAGUGGCGAGCGAACGGGGACCAGCCCUUAAGUUGUAUUGAGAUUAGCGGAACGUUCUGGAAAGGACGGCCAUAGUGGGUGAUAGCCCUGUACGCGAAAAUCCCUUUGCAAUGAAAUCGAGUAGGACGGGGCACGAGAAACCUUGUCUGAAUAUGGGGGGACCAUCCUCCAAGGCUAAAUACUACUGACUGACCGAUAGUGAACCAGUACCGUGAGGGAAAGGCGAAAAGAACCGCGGAGAGCGGAGUGAAAUAGAUCCUGAAACCGUAUGCGUACAAGCAGUGGGAGCCCACUUGUUGGGUGACUGCGUACCUUUUGUAUAAUGGGUCAGCGACUUAUUUUCAGUGGCGAGCUUAACCGAAUAGGGGAGGCGUAGCGAAAGCGAGUCUUAAUAGGGCGUCUAGUCGCUGGGAAUAGACCCGAAACCGGGCGAUCUAUCCAUGGGCAGGUUGAAGGUUGGGUAACACUAACUGGAGGACCGAACCGACUACCGUUGAAAAGUUAGCGGAUGACCUGUGGAUCGGAGUGAAAGGCUAAUCAAGCUCGGAGAUAGCUGGUUCUCCUCGAAAGCUAUUUAGGUAGCGCCUCAUGUAUCACUGUAGGGGGUAGAGCACUGUUUCGGCUAGGGGGUCAUCCCGACUUACCAAACCGAUGCAAACUCCGAAUACCUACAAGUGCCGAGCAUGGGAGACACACGGCGGGUGCUAACGUCCGUCGUGAAAAGGGAAACAACCCAGACCGUCAGCUAAGGUCCCAAAGUCAUGGUUAAGUGGGAAACGAUGUGGGAAGGCUUAGACAGCUAGGAGGUUGGCUUAGAAGCAGCCACCCUUUAAAGAAAGCGUAAUAGCUCACUAGUCGAGUCGGCCUGCGCGGAAGAUGUAACGGGGCUCAAACCAUGCACCGAAGCUACGGGUAUCAUCUUUUGAUGAUGCGGUAGAGGAGCGUUCUGUAAGCCUGUGAAGGUGAGUUGAGAAGCUUGCUGGAGGUAUCAGAAGUGCGAAUGCUGACAUGAGUAACGACAAUGGGUGUGAAAAACACCCACGCCGAAAGACCAAGGUUUCCUGCGCAACGUUAAUCGACGCAGGGUUAGUCGGUCCCUAAGGCGAGGCUGAAAAGCGUAGUCGAUGGAAAACAGGUUAAUAUUCCUGUACUUCUGGUUAUUGCGAUGGAGGGACGGAGAAGGCUAGGCCAGCCUGGCGUUGGUUGUCCAGGUUUAAGGUGGUAGGCUGAGAUCUUAGGUAAAUCCGGGAUUUCAAGGCCGAGAGCUGAUGACGAGUGUUCUUUAGAACACGAAGUGGUUGAUGCCAUGCUUCCAAGAAAAGCUUCUAAGCUUCAGGUAACCAGGAACCGUACCCCAAACCGACACAGGUGGUUGGGUAGAGAAUACCAAGGCGCUUGAGAGAACUCGGGUGAAGGAACUAGGCAAAAUGGCACCGUAACUUCGGGAGAAGGUGCGCCGGUGAGGGUGAAGCAUUUACUGCGUAAGCCCACGCCGGUCGAAGAUACCAGGCCGCUGCGACUGUUUAUUAAAAACACAGCACUCUGCAAACACGAAAGUGGACGUAUAGGGUGUGACGCCUGCCCGGUGCCGGAAGGUUAAUUGAUGGGGUUAGCGCAAGCGAAGCUCUUGAUCGAAGCCCCGGUAAACGGCGGCCGUAACUAUAACGGUCCUAAGGUAGCGAAAUUCCUUGUCGGGUAAGUUCCGACCUGCACGAAUGGCGUAACGAUGGCGGCGCUGUCUCCACCCGAGACUCAGUGAAAUUGAAAUCGCUGUGAAGAUGCAGUGUAUCCGCGGCUAGACGGAAAGACCCCGUGAACCUUUACUAUAGCUUUGCACUGGACUUUGAAUUUGCUUGUGUAGGAUAGGUGGGAGGCUUUGAAGCGUGGACGCCAGUCUGCGUGGAGCCAACCUUGAAAUACCACCCUGGCAACUUUGAGGUUCUAACUCAGGUCCGUUAUCCGGAUCGAGGACAGUGUAUGGUGGGUAGUUUGACUGGGGCGGUCUCCUCCUAAAGAGUAACGGAGGAGUACGAAGGUGCGCUCAGACCGGUCGGAAAUCGGUCGUAGAGUAUAAAGGCAAAAGCGCGCUUGACUGCGAGACAGACACGUCGAGCAGGUACGAAAGUAGGUCUUAGUGAUCCGGUGGUUCUGUAUGGAAGGGCCAUCGCUCAACGGAUAAAAGGUACUCCGGGGAUAACAGGCUGAUACCGCCCAAGAGUUCAUAUCGACGGCGGUGUUUGGCACCUCGAUGUCGGCUCAUCACAUCCUGGGGCUGAAGCCGGUCCCAAGGGUAUGGCUGUUCGCCAUUUAAAGUGGUACGCGAGCUGGGUUUAGAACGUCGUGAGACAGUUCGGUCCCUAUCUGCCGUGGACGUUUGAGAUUUGAGAGGGGCUGCUCCUAGUACGAGAGGACCGGAGUGGACGAACCUCUGGUGUUCCGGUUGUCACGCCAGUGGCAUUGCCGGGUAGCUAUGUUCGGAAAAGAUAACCGCUGAAAGCAUCUAAGCGGGAAACUUGCCUCAAGAUGAGAUCUCACUGGAACCUUGAGUUCCCUAAAGGGCCGUCGAAGACUACGACGUUGAUAGGUUGGGUGUGUAAGCGCUGUGAGGCGUUGAGCUAACCAAUACUAAUUGCCCGUGAGGCUUGACCAU
rnacentral:rRNA from 1 species